rfam:Picea glauca, whole genome shotgun sequence.
GUCGUUCUAGUAUAGUGGUGAGUAUUUCCACCUGUCAUGCGGGUGACAUGGGUUCGAUCCCUGACAACGACA